GCAUCACAAUAGUAAUUCAACCUAGUAUGAGAGGAACAAUUGAUUCGCACAAUUGGUUAUCACGCUUAGUUGAAAAGCCAGUGGCGCAAAACUAUCAUGCACUGGAUUUUGACUGAACGCCUCUAAGUCAGAAUUCGGAUUAGAAACGAUGC
rnacentral:ncRNA from 1 species